UNCCUUCCCUUAUGAGCACUAGAUGGACAC
rnacentral:piRNA from 1 species